AUGGUACACGUUCCUAGACAGAGAAGUAUUGUACAACGUGAAUAUAGCUGCUGCAAUGCUGAUGGAUUUUUUCCAGAGUGGAUCAAAAGGAAGAAUUUUGGCCACAAAGGGUCAGGUCUGUCUUGGAGAACUCAUCCCCACAGAAGCAAGAGGGAGGCUGCGCCAGUAACUCCUGUGGGAGGUCUAGCUGGGAAGCCAUCUUUGGCAGCACAGCCCUACCCCAGGAUUUCAGCCCAUCACAAGGACUAGCUCGGCUCCUGCCUCUAGUGCUUCAGUCUGCUUGAAAACUCAGACAUCAAUAAGGCAGUUAAGGUAGGUGAUAUCGUUAGGUAUUAUUUACCUGUUAAGGUUAAGGCACAUCUUCCUUUUCUGUGAAAAUCAAACUCCUUUUGUCAGCAUAAAGCUUUAGGAACUGUGAGAUCUACAGUCACCAGAGUUCUACAAUGCUUGUGCUUUUAUCUUGGUACAGUUUAGUACAGAGGCCUCGCAGACAUCUAAAAACAUUUCAAUAUAAAUUUAUAAUUAAUUUUAUUUGCUAUUGCAAUAUAAUGUCAAUAAU
rnacentral:lncRNA from 1 species